GACGUUGGGCAUGCUUUCCAUCUAAUUUCAAGAACUGUGCUCAAACCUGAACCUGAAGUCAGGCUUCAGAGUUGUAGCAGAGCAAUUUGAAGGACAAACCCACCUGGAAGCGGUUUUAAACUUUUCCUCGUCACCAUUACACUUUGUUGAUUCAGUUUGACUCGGGAGUUGCUGGACUCUAACGCUGUGUAAAAAGUAACACCCCCUAAGUUGCGUGUGACUUUAUAUCACUGGAAAACUGUCUGAGUAGUGUGGAAGUAAGGGAUUUUUAUAUAUGCCACUUUCAGAUAAAUCAUGCAAAGCAGCUCUAAACUGAGAUAAUUUAAGGUGAAAAUGGGUUUGAUACAUCUCCUUUACGUUAUAACAGGUCCUGGAUUUAGAUGCAUCAAAAACACAAGAUCAUAUUUCAGUGCUCUUUGUUCAUGCUCAUGUCUGCCCACGUUAUGAAACAAUACUGUUUUUCUUCAGAGCACACGAUGUAUGAAUCUUCCUCGGCUGAGUUUGGUUAACAGGAGAGGUUUUGACACGCGCACUAACUUUCAUUACAGGCUCUGAAAUGCUGGAUGCAAUUUUAAUGAAGCCUUUUCACAAACCUUUAUACUAAUGAACCACAGAGUCUGUUAGGGCAGCUCCCUCACACUGCAGAGCAGAAACACUGAGGCUGAGUUUGGAAACAUUAUAUUCCUCUGCAGUCACAGCUCAUAUAGAUUUGAUCUGGUUAUUAUUAGCAGCAGCAGCAGCAGCAGAGGAGCUGCUUCACUACUGAGGAGGAGUAAUCACAUUAGACUGCUCAUGAGGUUCAAAGAAACGUGGAUUCCUCCAAUACUUUAGGAGGGGAGACAUCUGUAAUCAGACGUGAUUCACUUGAUCGUCUUAUUAUAACACUAUUAUGUUGAAAAACAGUUUCAUUUGAAGGUUCUGGAGGUCCAGUAGAGCUCUCAAAUAGAGGGUAAAGAUAAAUCUUGAUUCUUGGGGUGCUAUGCAAUGACUACAAAUCAGUACACCAACGUUUGAAAAUCUUGAAUAUAAGGGAUGGUGCAGCUGGAGGUUCUCAACAUGAUCUGUUAUUGGGGUUUGUGUCAUUAAUACCUGGGAGUUUGAAUUUUAGUUCAUGUUAAGACUAUUUACAGACUUUUUAAAUCUGGUGAGACUGAGAUAGCUUUAGCCUUUUGUGAGUUUCGGCCAAGUGCCCGAGAGCUGCUGUGAUAUGAGACCUGGUAGCGUUUGAUGCUUGCCCCUGUAUACUCUACAAACAACAACUGAGUUAUCAAGGAACCCUCCUGUUUUAGAAGAGCCAAAAUGUGCCAAUACUGAAGUCCUGUAACCAGCUGACUGAAAAAUCUUGGUAAUUAUGCUGCAGCUGGAGCGCUGUCACUGUACAACAGUGGAUUGUAUUAAUUAAAAACAAUGCAUUGGUGCAUUUAUUGAAUUUGAACACAUCUGCCGUUAAUUUUACAAUGCAAUGUUCAAAACAAGUCGAGUCAAUAGUUGUCACUAUUGACUCUUCUGCUAUAAGUUACAAGUUAGAUAUGAACUUUAAUUUUUUCUUUAGAUAAUCUUCUUUUUAGUUCCCAAACUAUCUUUGAAGACCGAGGACUGUCCACUGUGCAGGCAGGUGGAAUGUAAACAUGCACACAACACUGCUGACGUCACGCUUGAUUUAAAACAUUGCUGUCCUGCUCAUCCUAAUGCUUGUUAACAAAGUGGGCAGACACAUUAACUGCUAAACUUAUACAUAUAUAUAUAUAAGUAUAUAACUGGGAAAUUUUGUCUCUUUAUGUCCUUUCUUCAUCCGUAAAAGUUUACUUAAGCUCUCUCGCAGCGAAACUAAGCUGUUCAACCACCGGCUCAGAGUCUGGCGUGCAAAUGCUGGAGCGUGCACAGAGCAUUUAGGCCACUUUCAGCUUGACUGAGAAAAAGGAUCCCCCAACCCCACUAUCCAUGUAUGUUAGCCCAACUAUAACAAGUUUAAUUACACCCAGACUUUUGUGUUUACAUGCAUUUUACACGUCCAGUUUCAGCUCUGUGAUAGAAAAUGAUAUCUGAAAAUAAACUGAAAGAUAAGAGUAAGCUGAUUCACUGCAUUCCCUUGUGUAAAUAUCUGCAGUAUGAGUGUUUUCAAUAUCCUGCAGCCCCACUUUAAACAGUGCAUAUCCUGCAUGAGUCCCUUUUUCAAAGUCAGGCCCUCCACCUGUGCUGCCUCCAUGACUGAAACGAUCUCCCUGUCAUUAAACCUGAUCAACAGGCCUACCGUUGAUGAUCAAUCAUCUAAAAUCAGGGUGUUAAUCAAGCUUCCUUUACAGUGUGUCGGCUCAAAAGAGUCAAACAACCCAGAAGACAUCUCUGAGCGUCUCCGUUUAUUUGCUUAAUGAUGUUUGGAUUUGUUGAGCUCAUUAGCAGUCUUGUGUGUGUGUGUGUGUGUGUGUGUGUGUGUGUGUGUGUGUGUGUGUGUGUGUGUGUGUGUGUGUGUACAUGCUGUGGGGUUUCGGUGUAAAUGCUCGCGCCUUAAUUACUGGGAGGUGGUAUCUUUUCUUCAUCACGUCAGGAGACUUGCCUCUGUUUCCUCUCAGGGCCGUCUGUCCGUCUGUUUGUCUCUGUCUUCAUUAAGUAAACAUCAGGUGCCAAUUAGCUCUAAAUAACUUGUCUCUAAUAUAAACAUGGCUCUCUGCCAGGAGAGGAAAGCCUGAAUCCUCACUGUGAAUGCUGACUUGUACUGCCAUCUAGUGGUCAAAACUGUCUUCUACAAAGGGAGGUGUCUUCAUGUGCGGGCCUGUUCUGCUCUCUGCUGGCAGGUGAUCUACAUUGGAGCUGAUGGUAGCCUCAGGUGGUGUUACCACUGAUCAUGUCAGCCGAUGAAAAGCUCCUUCCUCAGCAGAGAGGGAGGUGGGGGUGAGUCUAGAGGAGAGUUUGUGAGGCUGGGAAUUAGUUUGACUUUUUUCUUGUUGCUUUUAAAGCUGUUAUGGAGUUAUGGAGCACAGGAAAGAGAGACAGAGUACAAAUGUUUCAGGAUCACCUUCCUAACAUGCAGCUGUAGCUUCUGUCCAAAAACAUAUUCUAUAAAAUCUCCUUUUUUAAGUCUUUUCUUUGAAGACUCAAACACGUUUCUCAGGUCUGUUAUACUAUCACCUAGAAAAUACUGGAAAAGUUCAUAACAAAGAUAUUAAAGGAAGUCGGACUUGAUGCUCAAUAUCUUACUGUACCAUUUAUACGGUUGGUUUCCUUGGGAGUUAUGUAUUGAUUAUAUAUCUAUUAACUUUUUUAUUAUUUAUUAUGUGUAUUAUUAUAAGAUUGUCCAAAUCCAAACUCCAGAUGUUUUUAACUGCAUCUCCUCAUCCAAAAAUAAAACCUCUGGAUUGUCCACCUGUCCUGUAAGGCUGACACCUGAAGUGCUGCAACCUAAGGGCUGCAUGUGUUACUGAUUCCCCACCAGGGGGCACUACAAUGCUCCCCAAAAAUCCCCCCCAAAGGAAAAGCUUGAACCCAGGGCUAGAGGUCCAAACUGAUGGCAACAAAGAAAGUGAAUGAACAGGCUAAACUGAUACGAUACACUUUCAAAAUAAAAGAAUCAGUUUGUGAACCAAACAGUUUUACCAUCUUUGCUAAAUUAGUCCAACAUAAGAAUAAGGAAUCUACAGGUUAUGAUGGUACACCUGCAGAAAGGAGGAUGUAUUUCAGGACAGUUUUGCAGAUUUAAGAUGAAGGUUUAUGCACAAUAACCUUUCUUGACUGGUCCUGCAAAUUAAUAAAUAAUGGACCAGAAAAGAGUAAACUUGGGAGUAAAAGGAUGGUUACUCAAAAGAAUCAAAGGUCCACAUAAAUGAAAGCGUUACAGGCUCAAGCUGCAGAUCUGGGUCACAGUACAACAAGAUAAUAGCAUGAUGUAUAUCAGGUAUAUAAAGCUUUCACAUCCAUUAGACAUUUUGUUAACCUGACAUACAAAAUACAAAGAGUCCAUCUAACAUGGCAGCACUGUCUAUUUUAGGAGCCCAUACAAUAAUAAACAAAAGGGUCCUUUUGUUCCGUAUCUCUUCAACGACACAAAAUGAUCAACAAAUAUGAUUACAUGAAUACUUUAAAUACAUACAAACAAUAAGACAGAGUGUGUUCAACAUUGGCUGAUUUCUUUCUUUAUUACAGGCUGAGCCGGUUGCCAGGCAACAGGUGUGGUGCAAAGUGUAGGCUCAGGAGACAGGAUGAGAUCCGAAGAGCAGCCUGGGUGACUUCAUUGUACGGACUUGAAAUCAGUAAAACUGACAGAGUCUUGAUCAGAGUCUGUGUGUGUGUGUGUGUGUGUGUGUGUGUGUGUGUGUGUGUGUGUGUGUGUGUGUGUGUGUGUGUGUGUGUGUGUGUGUGUGUGUGUGUGUGUGUGUGUGUGUGAUAGGUGUUUGUCAUUCACUGGCAGCUGCAAUCACAAUGAAAAUGAAACAAAUGCAGUUGAUUGGAGUAACAUGUGAUGGCAGAUAAUUGUAUAUAAAACAUAAUAGCAAAUCAAUAUAAAAUGUGCAAAAUUGUAUCACUAAUAUGUUUAUAAUUAGAUAUGCAAAAGUUAUCAAACUGUGAUAUAAUCCAUUGAAAAUGACUCAGACUUUAUGAUAAGAAACAUCCAUGUUCAGUUUCUUUGUUUGUGUUACUCAGAGUCUUUUUCCUCAUUCAGGUCAGGAAUAGGAAACAGAUCCAGUACCCUCGUCCUUCUUCGAUUCAAUCUAUGACACAGUGUGCCAUCUGCCUUGGUGUCAAUCGGUGCAGUUUUGGGGCCAUUGUUAGGCUUGCCAUGAGUCCCAUCUGCCUUCUGUCAUCUUCCAGCAUUGUCUCUGAAGAAUGGGUAGGAUGCAACAAAUCAAAACUAUCAUUUUGACCAUAAUCAGUACUUAAUUUCAUUUUGAUUUUGAGAGUUUUUCCUUUAUUUAUCAAAUUCUGACCGGACUCUCUCCCUCAUUCACCUCCUCCAGCUAUCAUUCAAUGCCACAAAGUUGGGUUUUCACAUCAUCUUUGGUAAUCACAGAGUUCACCUCAGUUAUCAUGUCCUCCUUUAAAGUACAACACUUUCUCCAGACUUGGCAGAUCAGUAGAUUAUCAGUUUCCUGCCACUUUGCAUCAUUGGUCCAAGAUUUUAGACUCAAAAUUCUCAUUUACCAACAGUGGGAUGUGUGGCACUGAUUCUGACACGUAGUACAAUCUUUCAAAGAAUGGAUGUUGUCAGUUUAAGGGACAUAUCCCUGGUGUUUUCAGCCCACUUCUCCUCGAAGUGAUACUCUAAUAUAGCGCUUUAAAAACUGCGUCAACAAUACCGCCUGUGUACUUUGUGCAGACCACCGAAUUCAUCUUUAUCAGAGUCUCCACAGGAGCUGCAAACUCACCCUUCCCUCACUUGUUAAAGUGGCGAAUGUGUUCAUGAACAUAAUUGGUGUGUGUUAUUCACUGGCAGCUGCGACUACUUGGUAUAACCAUCGGCACAACCAUCUAUAAUUUCCACCACACAGGUCCCCACAGAAAUGUCCUGCCUGGCUCUGUGUUAGAGGACUGAGUCAGGAGAAAAUCUCAGGGCUGUGUUGUCCUUUUUGUCUGUUUGGUGUUUGGCUGGUAAAUGUCACCCAAUGAGCCAGCAGGAAGAGUCACAUUGGUUGCUAUACACUGUGCUUGUUGCCAUGGAGAUGUCAAAAUUAUGUAACCCCUAAAAGUCAGCUAUAGGAGGACUUCCCACCCCGGACUUUUUAGCUUUAUGGGAAGAGACAACGGUAUCUAUAUAUUAUAUAAUGAAACAUCUCACUGUGUUCAUGUUGCUGAAACUGCUCCAAUAAAUAUAGUUUUUGAUCCACUUCGCCCACUGAACACUGAAAGAGAUUUUGCAUUAAUGUGUGAGAAAACAGUGAAAUCCAGUGUAGAAUCGAGGUUAAAUACAUGUUUCCAUAGCGUGUAAAAAAACAACUUUUUAACCAGUUUUUAAUAUCUUUUUCACAGUGGCAGAAACAGUUUUAGAGCAUCCCAGGAUUCAAAUGUCCAAUAAGAAACCAUAAAACAUAACAGAGCUCGAGGAAAGGGGCUACUUGUGAUUGACGUGAGCGAUAGAUUUACUACAGCAGAGUGGCAGCAGCAACAUAACCAUUUUUCAGCAAAAUAUGGACAUGAAAGAAAGAGAAAGAAAGAAAGAAAGAAAGAAAGAAAGAAAGAAAGAAAGAAAGAAAGAAAGAAAGAAAGAAAGAAAGAAAGAAAGAAAGAAAGAAAGAAAGAAAGAAAGAAAAUUUUCCUCAACAACUACCCUGAGGAAAAGACCAAUGACUGGCCCAAAAUACAGCCCAGAAAAAUUAGCCCAAGAGAAUAAAACCAAAGACAGCCCCCCUAUAAAAAUACCACCUACAAAAUAACUCUUAAGAUGUCCCCAAAAAGGCACCAAAAAUUACCCCAAGAUAAAAAUAAACUCCUCAAAAGAUAGCCCUGAAAUAAUCCUGAAGAAUGACCCCAAAAUAUUCCCAAACAAUAACCCCCAAUUCCUCCCAAAAUAACCCCUAAAAGCCCCCCUCCCAAAAACAGCUUCAAAAUAAAGCCCAAUUAAUUGCGCCCAAGAAUAGCCUUGAAAAUAAGUCCCAAAAAAACAAACCCACGGUCAAGGCUUGGUACAAAACUCCAACGUUUAAAUGGCUCAGCUGCAUUUGUGAAAAUUAGAGUGUCAUAUCAGAACAUGGUCAAAGGAAACACAUCAACAUCACUGUGAAUGAAAAACAGACAUCACCAAUGUUUGGGUCUAGGUCGAGGCCACAAACUGAAGAAUAAAAACACCCGAGGACCUCACAGGAGUCCAUCUUUCUCCACGGGUCUUUCGUAGCUCCUGAGCACAUGUGCGUUUGUUGAAACAGCCUCUCUUUGUUUAUGUGACCUCACAGGUUGAGUCAUCGUCAAGGUGUUUGUCUCUGCGCUGAAUCGCACGUAUUCAGACUCCUGCGAAAAAUCGUUCGUCAAGGCCAAGACAUGUUUGGCUGAAGGUGCGAACCUGUGGUGUUGGAUCAUCUGUGAGUCAUCAGGGUGCAGACGCUGACGGCAUUAACGUACAAACAAUGAAUCAACAGCGUGAUUGACAUCUUUGUGCGCUGAUUGUGAUGCAUGAUAUAAAUCAGGCGUGACUUCAGUCAAUCUGGCUCUGUAGUCUCUACGCUUUCAGGUAAUCGAACUCUAACACAGGGGCAUCGUGUUUGUAAAGAAAAGAAAAGUAACUGCAUGUUCGUGAGUUGAGAGCAGGGUGCAUCUUCUCAGCAUGUCCUCUGAUUCUUAUAUAAGCAAAGAUUGAUUCCUCCAGGCCGUCUGUGCAACCGAAUUAGCGUUUUAACCAACAGCAAGCGGUCAUUUGAGUUAUCUUACAAAAUUGGCUCAGUUUGGCGAGAUUAAAGGGAUAUUCCGGCGUAAAAUUAAGUUAGGGUCAAACACACCGUAACAUGAAGUUAGAUGAUAACGAAAUAAUCAUAAAUGUUCUUCC